AUUGAACGCUGGCGGCAUGCCUUACACAUGCAAGUCGAACGGCAGCACGGGAGCAAUCCUGGUGGCGAGUGGCGAACGGGUGAGUAAUAUAUCGGAACGUGCCCAGUCGUGGGGAUAACGUAGCGAAAGCUACGCUAAUACCGCAUACGAUCUAUGGAUGAAAGCGGGGGAUCGCAAGACCUCGCGCGAUUGGAGCGGCCGACAUCAGAUUAGGUAGUUGGUGAGGUAAAGGCUCACCAAGCCGACGAUCUGUAGCUGGUCUGAGAGGACGACAGCCACACUGGGACUGAGACACGGCCCAGACUCCUACGGAGGCAGCAGUGGGGAAUUUUGGACAAUGGCGCAAGCCUGAUCCAGCAAUGCCGCGUGCAGGAUGAAGGCCUCGGGUUGU
rnacentral:rRNA from 1 species